rnacentral:lncRNA from 1 species
GACCUAAUAACUUGAAAGAAAGAUGGAAUAAUAUUUUUCAGAAAUCUAUAACUAAACACAAGCUGCUGAUCAAGAUUAUUUAAUCAAUUCAAAUGCAAUAAUAACCACAAUUAGAACAAGAAAGAACAAACAAAAUAAGGUAACAACGGAAAUUAAACCUACAACUUUAAGACCUAAACACUUGAAGUCUUCAACCUCUAAUCGGAACCUCAGAUCACAAGUGCAGCCUCCUGCCGCAGUUCACCGUAGUCCUCGACUAACUCCGAUCAGGUUGAUGAUUGUUGAAACUUGGCAAUCCGAUGCUAAUGUUCCUCCGUAUUUGCAAUCCCAGCCCACGUGUUCUACAAGGUGAAAAGCGUAAAGAUGAAAGGCAGUUACGCCUCGCUUUUAUAGUUUACGAGACGACGCCAUUGCUGAUGAACCAUGCUAGAGGAAGCUUCGAGGAAAGAGCUUUCUUUCCUUUCUUAUCUCUGUGUCAUUGCAGCUCCUUGUAGAUUGCGG